rnacentral:rRNA from 1 species
GUGUACAGUCAUAUCAACCUGCAGCCCAAGACUGGUUACUCACUGAUGCUAAGCAGGGCUGAGAUUGGUCAGUACCUGGAUGGGAGACCAAAUGGGAAAACUAGGUCACUAUUGGAA